UAAUGGUUCUUUGUAUACUGUAGAUACAAGUGUCAGGUAUAUGAUUUCCAAAUAUUUUCUCCUGUUCUGAGUUGUCUUUUCACUUUCCUGAUGGUGUUCCUUGAAACAUGGAAGUUUUUAAUUUUGAUGAUGUCCAAUUUAUCUGUUUUUGCUUUUGUUGCUUGUGCUUUUGGUGUCAUAUCUGAACAUGCAUUUUUAAACGAUGAACUUACUUGAUGAAACACUUUUCCUUUGGAUACUGGAUCCAUCAGAUUGGGUACAGGCGACAUGUUUUUUGUCUCAACCACUCACUCCUUGAAGAGGAUCUCAGGUGCAGUUUUUAAGGCAGCACCAACUAGUUUACUUUUAGAUAUUUUAAUUGGAAGUAAGUUUAAAGGUAUUUUCAUAAAACUAAUCCAGCUUUUAUAACAAAAUGUGACCUUGUAAUGUAGUUUUGUAUGUUUAUGGUAAAAACUUGUUAUUUCUUACUUUAUAGGUACUAAAAAGUGUACUUUUGCAGUUUCAGAAUGUAACUCUCAUGCCUUAUUUUGAUUAGUAUUAAGCCUCUUCUUUAUGCUAAGAAGAUGGCGAUUAAUUUAUUGCAGGUUAAAAGACAGUAUCCAAACUAUUACUAUCUUAAAAGUUAAUAUUUCUAAAAUUUUUGAAUGCCACUAAUUGAUAACUGAGAUUUUUAGAGAUUUAAACUGAUUUAUUUUUGGUUAUACACAGAAAGUUAAAUUUUUUCUUUAUUAUUGUAGUUUUAAAUUUCCUCUUUUUUUCCCUGGAUAAUUAAUGUACAGGGCAUGGCUUGCUGAUAAGUAUGACUAGAGUUUUACAAAUUAAUCUUAGCAGGGUUCCUUCCAUCCUUUAAUGUCAGUGCUGUAAAUUGUUCUCACAUAAUUCCUGUUAUUCUGGCAUUAUAUCUUAUGUAGAUAUAAAUUCUUAUUUUGUAGGUGAAAAGGAAUAUGGUUCAAUAGGAUUCAAGAGCUUAAAAAUUGCCCUCUUUCACAUUUCUAAUAAGUAAUAACUCUUUUAAAUUCAAGUCAGUAAUUAUAAAGGAAUGAUAAUGGAAUCUGUUAGCUAUUUGGAAAAAACAAAUCUUAUUGUAUUUAUAAUAAAUGUGAAUGACUUGCUAUUUAUUUUGGAAAGAAUUCUAUAUUUAGACCCUAGAAAGACUCGGCAUUUCAUAAUUAAAUUAAAGUUAGUAGAAGCUGGAACAGUUUCUAGGAAUGUCAUAAUAUGCUGUAGGGGAUAGUAGUACUUUUAAAGGUUCUGACAUUCAGCCAGUAAGGUGUUUCUAUUUCCAAAUAAUUACGCCCCACCCUAAAUAGAUACAAGAAGUAUUUUUGGUAAAUCUGCCAAGCUUUAUGUGAUUCUCGUUGUAUCAUUGAAGGUGGCUAAAUAAUAUUAAUAUUUUAAGUGAUAGUUAUUCAGCUUACCACUUGACAUUACCACUGUUGAGCAUGGGUAGUGAGUUUCAUUGUCCAGAGAAGGCUCUUACAUUUUGCUUUGUCAGUAUAUCAUAACCUUUUUUAAGGGCAUUGCCAAGAAGGGAAGAGGCUGCUACUUCAGGCAGUGUAUUUGACUUUGGCAUUCUCACAGGUACAUUGUUUGUGAAGCGGUUCCGAUCUCUUGCUUAAGAAAUUGGGAGCUAGGCUGCUUCCUGUGGUUCUGUUGCUCUGGAGGUGCCUGAUUCCUAAUGAAGGCCAAAAUGCGCAGAAUUGAUGGGGCCAGUUAUUGCAGAUGACUGGAGCCUAAGCUUGAAAGAAAAAGAAGCUGUGGUGUGAACUCGAUUUAAUCAUACUUCUGUCCCUUUUAAAUUGCUGGUGCUGCAGAAGCCUCCAACCCUGAAGAGCCAGCAGUGCAAGAAAAAAAGCUUCAAGGAAAGUCUGUUCCCCCUAGCCAAAGGACUGGGAAAGAGGACGGUCUAAGAAAAAAAGACUUUGUCUGCACUUGCUCUGCUCCAGCCAACCACCGAGGGAACUCCUCCCUUGACACAUUUUCAGCUGGGCUGAGCAAGGAGUUGGCUUUCUACUCCCCUCAUUCCCUACCCCCUUGAAAGCAGGUAGCAUGCUCUAGUCCCCUGCUGGAGUUUGGAGGGAGCUAAUCUUCCAUUCUCUGCCUGGUAGAAGCAGGUGGCACUUCAAUUUUCCUACCAGGUGGUGUCAACAGGGCCAACCAGCUGCAAUGAGAUUUAACCAGGUGGUGCAAGUAGGGGCUAAUUACUGCUAGGAUUGAUAUGCUCUUCCCUCCAGCCCCCCAGUAGUCUCCUAGGGAGGCACUGAGCCUCCGUACCCACUGGCAUCAAGAAGGUAGAAUGGAUGGAGGGAGGCAGAGCUUGUUGGUGCUCCACUUUCCCCUUUUCCUCUUCUGGUAUAAUGGGACUCAUUAGGGUGGAGCAACUUUGCAGCAAUGAAGUGACAUGACUUAGCCCUUGGGUUUUCUCUCCCUGGUGGCAGCUUGGUCCAAGAAGAAGCUGACCUUCUCACGUGGAGGCAACGGAAAUGGUGAAUUGGAGCCACACUUUUUCCAG
rnacentral:lncRNA from 1 species